AAACUAACAAGGAUUCCCCUAGUAACGGCGAGCGAAGCGGGAAGAGCUCAAAUUUGAAAGCUGGCGUCUUCGGCGUCCGCGUUGUAAUCUCGAGACGUGUUUUCCGUGCGGCUCUAUGGACAAGUCCCUUGGAACAGGGCAUCGUAGAGGGUGAAAAUCCCGUACUUGCCAUGGAAGUACCGUGCUUUGUGAUACACGCUCCAAGAGUCGAGUAGUUUGGGAUUGCUGCUCAAAGUGGGUGGUAGACUCCAUCUAAAGCUAAAUAUCGGGGAGAGACCGAUAGCGAACAAGUACCGUGAGGGAAAGAUGAAAAGCACUUUGGAAAGAGAGUUAAAAGUACGUGAAAUUGUCGAAAGGGAAGCACUUGAAGUCAGCCAUGCUGCUUGAGACUCAGCCUGGCUUUUGCUUGGUGUAUUUCUCGGUAGCAAGCCAGCAUUGGUUUGUGUCGUCGGAGAAGCGUAUGGGGAAUGUGGCAUCCUCGGAUGUGUUAUAGCCCUGUGCAGGAUACGACGACGUAGACCAAGGAACGCAGUGUGCCCUCUGGGCGGGUCUUCGGACACCUUCACACUUAGGAUGCUGGCGUAAUGGCUUUAAGUGGC
rnacentral:rRNA from 1 species